AGUGGCCUCUCUGAGAAAACAAGCAAAUAAGUUAAAACUUUCAACAACGGAUCUCUUGGUUCUGGCAUCGAUGAAGAACGCAGCGAAAUGCGAUAAGUAAUGUGAAUUGCAGAAUUCAGUGAAUCAUCGAAUCUUUGAACGCACAUUGCGCCCGCUAGUACUCUAGCGGGCAUGCCUGUUCGAGCGUCAUUUCAACCCUCAAGCCCUGCUUGGUGUUGGGGUCCUACGGCUGCCGUAGGCCCUGAAAACUAGUGGCGGGCUCGCUAUAACUCCGAGCGUAGUAGUAACAUAUCUCGCUAGGGAGGUGUCGCGGGUUCCGGCCGUGAAAGCCCCAUCUUUUACACAAGGUUGACUCGGAUCAGGUAGGAAUACCC
rnacentral:rRNA from 1 species